AUUGAACGCUGGCGGCAUGCCUUACACAUGCAAGUCGAACGGUAACAGGUCUUCGGAUGCUGACGAGUGGCGAACGGGUGAGUAAUACAUCGGAACGUGCCCGAGAGUGGGGGAUAACGAAGCGAAAGCUUUGCUAAUACCGCAUACGAUCUCAGGAUGAAAGCAGGGGACCGCAAGGCCUUGCGCCCACGGAGCGGCCGAUGGCAGAUUAGGUAGGUGGUGGGAUAAAAGCUUACCAAGCCGACGAUCUGUAGCUGGUCUGAGAGGACGACAAGCCACACUGGGACUGAGACACGGCCCAGACUCCGACGGGAGGCAGCAGUGGGGAAUUUUGGACAAUGGGCGAAAGCCUGAUCCAGCCAUGCCGCGUGCAGGAUGAAGGCCUUCGGGUUGUAAACUGCUUUUGUACGGAACGAAAAGGCUCUGGUUAAUACCUGGAGUCCAUGACGGUACCGUAAGAAUAAGCACCGGCUAACUACGUGCCAGCAGCCGCCGUAACAC
rnacentral:rRNA from 1 species